AAUGGGCGAAAGCCUGACGCAGCAACGCAGCGUGAGUGAUGAAGGCCUUCGGGUCGUAAAGCUCUGUCAGAAGGGAAGAAAUGGAAGGGUGUUAAUACCAUCUUUUCUUGACGGUACCUUCAAAGGAAGCACCGGCUAACUCCGUGCCAGCAGCCGCGGUAACACGUAAGGGGCGAGCGUUGUUCGGAAUUAUUGGGCGUAAAGGGCGCGUAGGCGGUCUUGUAAGCGCGGCGUGAAAACCUGGAGCUCAACUCCGGGCCUGCGCUGGGAACUGCGGGACUAGAGUCAUGGAAGGGAAGUUGGAAUUCCAGGUGUAGGGGUGAAAUCUGUAGAUAUCUGGAAGAACACCGGUGGCGAAGGCGAACUUCGGGCCAAUGACUGACGCUGAGGCGCGAAAGUGCGGGGAGCAAA
rnacentral:rRNA from 1 species